CUGGUGAUCUUGGAGAUAAAAAUCUCUUAGGAGUGACAAUGUCAGUGUGCUACUGUUGUGAAUCAUCUUUAAAACCUUCUCCAUUAUGUGUGAAGGACAUCCCCUCAAUUAAGGGGUUUGGUGGUUUGCUUAAGUCAACAUUGCUAUGGUCAUCAAGUUUGCAGUGAAGAACAGCUCUGCUGGAUUUCAUGAUAAUGCCAUUACAGCAUAAAAAAUAAAUAAAUACUUGGACUAUACAUUUUUUGGAAAGCUGGAAGUUGAAAAAGUUUUAGUAUUGGCACACCCACUGCAGUUCUGGUGCAGAUGUCAGAGGCUCCUGUAUGACUCUGAGCCCUUCACUCCUAUGCUUAGUAGGAACCUCCUCUAUCAGUUGUUUUUAGACUCUGCAGCAGCAGAAUAUGAAGGAGAGGAACCGCACAAACCCUCCCAUGUCUCCAGUAUAGAUUUUUCCCAUAACUUCACAGUAGCGUUAACCUCCAGUCUGUUCAUCAUGAAGAAAACACUUCUUAAAGCACAGACACCAAUUUCACUGCUUCUGGAGUUCACUAAUGCUCAGAUGAUGGGAAUUCAUUGCUGUGCAAACCCAAUAACAUCGGCUGAAUUUUCAAACUGGAAGCAAAGUUAGAGUGAAGCUGCCUUCUGCAUCACGUUGACCUGUUGAUUCAAGGCGUCCAGGUGCUCCUUACCUCAUGGCAGUAACUGCAAUUUGUCUGUUUUGCAGGACAUCAAAGUGCAUAACUCUUGCCAAGGACAGAUUUCAAACUGAGUCCAGCUGCUGUCUGUGCCUUUGCCAGCAAGACAGCAUUGGGUCCCCUGCACCUUUAUUUGUCUGAAAGUGGGAAAACAAAGUUUGUCUUAGGAAACUAUAUACCAGAUGUAGGGUUUCAUUUCUAGUGGAAUCAGAAAAUGGAAAGAACUGAAGAGGCCAUGGAUUGCUUACCCAGUUGCUCUGAAAAAUAUCUGAAUAGAGAGAGGCUAAUUAAAUUCUGAUAUUCCUUUUUGAAACUAACCCUCCUUGAACAACAAAAGAAGAAAACAAACCAAACAAGUACCAGUUUUAUUCAAAGAAACAGUGUGAGAUCAUCAAGAAGCUGACUGAUCCCUAGAGGAAGGGGAACAUACUCAUUUUCUCCUCUCUCCAUACAGUCCUGGGAAUAUCUUGAUCAAUAUCAGGGUUGUAUGCAAUAUGUUAAAGAGAUUACAUUUCGUAAGAUGUAUUUUAAAUUAUACAUUUCCACACGCUCUAUUAAUAUGAAAUGCAAUUUUAUCUGAUUUUAAUACUUUAAUGUUAGCUUCCAUUAUUUGCACAGUAAGUAAAUGAAGAGACACACAUGAAACCUGGAUUUAAUUAGAUAGGACAUGCUGUCAUUUGCUGACUGGCAUAAGAAGAAUACAUUAAGUACAAGCAUUGUAUAAUAAUUUUCUGUCCUGAAAUGAUGUACAGCUAUACAACAAACUUACAUUUAAUGCUGACUGCCAAAACCCAGCCAUUUGAGUUUUCUUAUAUAUAGAAAAUUAAAGUUUUAUAGAAGGUAGAUGUGGCAUUGACAAUAUUUUCUUUUUUUUUUUUUUCUGGAUGAGAUUAUUCACUACAUUCAUUCAUCUUUCAAAAACAUGUUAUUUCUUUCAACACUAUCCUUUUGGCCUUUCAUUGAUUCUACUUGUAACAACCAAAAGAAAAUCCUGCACGAUUCUCCCAAAACUGAAGCUUGGUGUUAUUACUAUCAGUGGAAGUUUUUUCUACCCCAAAUGUGUUAUUAUUAUGCCACAUACAAGAGCAUUAUACAUAAGAACCAAAAAGAGAAGGAGUUUGCAGAAAGGAAGUUAACAAGACUGGUCCUUGACCCAGGGAAAUGUCUGCCUCCAGAUAUUUUGAAAACCUGCUACAGAAUUAAAUUGCUUUUUCACUUGUUAGCUCCCAUGGAGCAAGGUCUAAAUGCCUAUGUGAUUCAUCAAUAUCCCUGAUAAUUCUCCGAGACGUCUAGUUAUAGCCUUACUAAUGUUGUUUGUAUUGCUUGUUGCUGUCUGAGGAGGCGGAUUUGCAAGAGCAGCCCUGUGGGAGCAGCUCCCUUCCAGAGGCGCAGCAGGAGGGCACGUACCGGGAUUGCCCAGGCUCAGCUGAGUAGUCACUCAGCCUUGUUCCUCCAUGCAAAAUCACAGCACCGGGAUGGCUCUUCACUCCAGCAGUAACACUGCUUUCAAAGCCCAUUCCUUAUGGCCAAAUAAGAGACAUGGCUUAAGCCUUACUCUUUGCUGCUGUGUUAUAGCUCCUGGUGACCAACAAAAGCGAGGACAUUAAUCAGCUAUGGUUUCUUCAUUGUUCUUGGGCUGCUUUUCCUCUCUGAGGUACUUUUCUAGCCCUUUCAUUACAGUGACAUCCAAGGACCUCAUUGCCUUUAAUCUCACAGCAGCUUCAAAGCCAUAUCCAGAGCUGCAGCUGCAGCAGGUCACCUCAAGCACCACCACGGCACAUACGGAUCUUCAAAGAGGGUUAAUGCAGAUGCUGGCAGCUCAGAGCUCAGCACAAGCUCACUCGGUCACCUUUCUGGGUGAGCUUUGCACCUUGUUCUGUGUCCGUAGUGCUGUGCUUGGACUGUGGUAGGUACCCAGUACUGUUCUGGUACACAUGGCCCAUCAGCUCACCAUAGCCACUUUCCUGAUGAGUUUGUGCAGGUGGACGUGCCUAUGGUAACCUAAACCCUGCACCCACACUGUGUUAGCUGUGAUGGUGCUAAACGACAUUUGGAAGAUGAGACAAUUGUCCUAAGGCCUGACAUUUCACCAGGACAAGAAAGAGGAUGGUGACCAGUGCUGUGGUCCACGUAUUUCACUCUGUGUUUUCCUUUUUCUUUUUGUUGGUUGUUAAUUCCUGUUAAUCAAAAAGCUUUCUACACCAUGGUUUGUUACACACAAUUCAUAUAGAAAAUUGUUGGUAAAUAUUAAAAUAUUUUUUA